UUCAGAGAGGGUUAGUUGGUGUUGUCUGUACUGUCAUGGUGGUUUCAGAGAGGGUUAGUUGGUGUUGUCUGUACUGUCAUGGUGGUUUCAGAGAGGGUUAGUUGGUGUUGUCUGUACUGUCAUGGUGGUUUCAGAGAGGGUUAGUUGGUAUUGUCUGUACUGUCAUGGUGGUUUCAGAGAGGGUUAGAUGGUGGUUGUCUGGGGUUGGUAGAUGAGGUGAGAUUAGCUUGGCGUCUGUGAACUGUAGUGUUAUUGUUCUAAGAUUGUAGAGUGGCGUGAUGGAUGGAUGGAUGGAUGGAUGGAUAGGUGGUGGGAGUACAUUAUUAGAAGGAUUCCACAGGUUGUUGUGGUAGAUAAGAUGUAUCAGUCACUGUCUGACAGUGGAUAGGAUGUUUGCUGUAGUGUUGUUAGUGGAGGUUAGGACUAGUAACAGGGAUGUUGUAGUGUUUGUGGAGGUUAGGACUAGUAACAGGGAUGUUGUAGUGUUAGUGGAGGUUAGGACUAGUAACAGGGAUGUUGUGGUGUAGGUGUAGGUUAGGACUAGUAACAGGGAUGUUGUGGUGUUAGUGGAGGUUAGGACUAGUAAGAGGGAUGUUGUAGUGUUUGUGGAGGUUAGGACUAGUGACAGGGAUGUUGUGGUGUUGGUGUAGGUUAGGACUAGUAACAGGGAUGUUGUGGUGUUGGUGGAGGUUAGGACUAGUAACAGGGAUGUUGUAGUGUUUGUGGAGGUUAGGACUAGUAACAGGGAUGUUGUAGUGUUGGUGGAGGUUAGGACUAGUAACAGGGAUGUUGUAGUGUUAGUGGAGGUUAGGACUAGUAACAGGGAUGUUGUGGUAUUGGUGGAGGUUAGGACUAGUAACAGGGAUGUUGUAGUGUUAGUGGAGGUUAGGACUAGUAACAGGGAUGUUGUAGUGUUGGUGGAGGUUAGGACUAGUAACAGGGAUGUUGUGGUGUUGGUGUAGGUUAGGACUAGUUACAGGGAUGUUGUAAUGUUAGUGGAGGUUAGGACUAGUAACAGGGAUGUUGUAGUGUUGGUGGACGUUAGGACUAGUAACAGGGAUGUUGUGGAGGUUAGGACUAGUAACAGGGAUGUUGUAGUGUUAAUGGAGGUUAGGAUUAGUAACAGGGAUGUUGUGGAGGUUAGGACUAGUAACAGGGAUGUUGUAGUGUUUGUGGAGGUUAGGACUAGUAACAGGGAUGUUGUGGAGGUUAGGACUAGUAACAGGGAUGUUGUGGAGGUUAGGACUAGUAACAGGGAUGUUGUAGUGUUGGUGGAGGUUAGGACUAGUAACAGGGAUGUUGUAGUGUUGGUGGAGGUUAGGACUAGUAACAGGGAUGUUGUAGUGUUAAUGGAGGUUAGGAUUAGUAACAGGGAUGUUGUGGAGGUUAGGACUAGUAACAGGGAUGUUGUAGUGUUUGUGGAGGUUAGGACUAGUAACAGGGAUGUUGUAGUGUUAGUGGAGGUUAGGAUUAGUAACAGGGAUGUUGUGGAGGUUAGGACUAGUAACAGGGAUGUUGUAGUGUUAGUGGAGGUUAGGAUUAGUAACAGGGAUGUUGUGGAGGUUAGGACUAGUAACAGGGAUGUUGUAGUGUUUGUGGAGGUUAGGACUAGUAACAGGGAUGUUGUAGUGUUUGUGGAGGGUAGGACUAGUAACAGGGAUGUUGUAGUGUUGGUGGAGGUUAGGACUAGUAACAGGGAUGUUGUGGAGGUUAGGACUAGUAACGGGGAUGUUGUGGUGUUGGUGGAGGUUAGGACUAGUAACGGGGAUGUUGUAGUGUUAGUGGAGGUUAGGACUAGUAACGGGGAUGUUGUGGUGUUAGUGGAGGUUAGGACUAGUAACGGGGAUGUUGUGGUGUUGGUGGAGGUUAGGACUAGUAACAGGGAUGUUGUAGUGUUUGGAGGUUAGGACUAGUAACAGGGAUGUUGUAGUGUUAGUGGAGGUUAGGACUAGUGACAGGGAUGUUGUGGUGUUAGUGGAGGUUAGGACUAGUGACAGGGAUGUUGUGGUGUUAGUGGAGGUUAGGACUAGUGACAGGGAUGUUGUAGUGUUAGUGGAGGUUAGGACUAGUAACAGGGAUGUUGUAGUGUUUGUGGAGGUUAGGACUAGUAACAGGGAUGUUGUAGUGUUAGUGGAGGUUAGGACUAGUAACAUGGAUGUUGUGGAGGUUAGUGGAGGUUAGGACUAGUAACAGGGAUGUUGUAGUGUUUGGAGGUUAGGACUAGUAACAGGGAUGUUGUAGUGUUGGUGGAGGUUAGGACUAGUAACAGGGAUGUUGUAGUGUUGGUGGAGGUUAGGACUAGUAACAGGGAUGUUGUAGUGUUGGUGGAGGUUAGGACUAGUAACAGGGAUGUUUUAGUGUUAGUGGAGGUUAGGACUAGUAACAGGGAUGUUGUAGUGUUAGUGGAGGUUAGGACUAGUAACAGGGAUGUUGUAGUGUUGGUGUAGGUUAGGACUAGUAACAGGGAUGUUGUGGUGUUGGUGGAGGUUAGGACUAGUAACAGGGAUGUUGUAGUGUUUGGAGGUUAGGACUAGUAACAGGGAUGUUGUGGUGUCGGUGUAGGUUAGGACUAGUAACAGGGAUGUUGUGGUGUUGGUGGAGGUUAGGACUAGUAACAGGGAUGUUGUAGUGUUUGGAGGUUAGGACUAGUAACAGGGAUGUUGUGGUGUCGGUGUAGGUUAGGACUAGUAACAGGGAUGUUGUAGUGUUCAUUGAGGUUAGGACUAGUAACAGGGAUGUUGUAGUGUUAGUGGAGGUUAGGACUAGUUACAGGGAUGUUGUAGUGUUCAUUGAGGUUAGGACUAGUAACAGGGAUGUUGUAGUGUUAGUGGAGGUUAGGACUAGUAACAGGGAUGUUGUAGUGUUCAUUGAGGUUUGGACUAGUAACAGGGAUGUUGUAGUGUUAGUGGAGGUUUGGACUAGUGACAGGGUUACAGAGCCAUGGUGGUGUUGAUGUUGUCUCUAUGGAAGUGCUGCCCUGGAAGAGCAAGGUAUUCAUCCAGUGUUGUAGACCCAGCCGUGCAUUUCUCUCUCUGUCAUUUUCUGUCUCUUUCUGUCUGUCUCUCUUUGUCGCUCUCUCUUUCUCUCGCUCUCCCUCCUUCUCUCUCUUCAUCUGUCUCUCGGCCUUUCGCUCUAUCUCGCCCUCUGUGUGUUAGUGAUUACAUCACUCGCCCUCUCUGUCUCUUUCUCUCUCUCUCUCUCUCUCUCUCUCUCUCUCUCUCUCUCUCUCUCUCGCCAUCUCUGUGUCUCUCUCUCGCCCUCUCUGUCUCUCUCUCUCUCUCUCUCUGCCUCUUGCAUAACUGCCAGCUUUAUUUGCUCCAGCUGAGGACUAAUCUUUCCCGCGAGACAGACGGAAGGAACAAGGGAGAGGAGGAGAGCAGGACAAGCCAACCUUUCUAACCUGACUGGACGCUCUGCCUCGUUAAUUCAAUCAG
rnacentral:lncRNA from 1 species